rnacentral:rRNA from 1 species
GACGAACCGUGCGAACGUUGUUCGGAAUCACUGGGCUUAAAGGGCGCGUAGGCGGACUGCCAAGUCAGAGGUGAAAUCCUGCGGCUCAACCGUAGAAGUGCCCCUGAUACUGGUGGUCUCGAGGAAGGUAGGGGCGUGCGGAACUUCCGGUGGAGCGGUGAAAUGCGUAGAUAUCGGAAGGAACACCGGUGGCGAAAGCGGCGCGCUGGACCUUUUCUGACGCUGAGGCGCGAAAGCCAGGGUAGCGAACGGG